GAUGAUGAUGGGCAAAUCCGCGUGGAAAUCUAGUGUUUCUGUUUGUCAUAUAGACAGAAAGCCGGCGACAUAAACACUAGAUUUCCACGCAGAUUUGCCCAUCAUCA
rnacentral:pre_miRNA from 1 species